rnacentral:lncRNA from 1 species
CUAAUGAGGUGGAGAACACAAACCACUUGCCAACUUUGCAUCUCAAUGAACAAGGAGCUGAGUUUUUGGAAACUAAAACAACAAAAUAUGCUCCAGAACAAAGAGAAACCAUUCCGCAGACUCAAAACUCAGUCACAAUGAUACCAACAUAUUACCCUGCUUUCAUUCCAGUGCCUUUACCAUAUUGGCCUCUGAACCUGACUACUGUUGCAAAAGAGGAAGAGAUGAAGGAGGCUCAUGAGAUAUUAAAGCCGAUCGCCGUUGUCCCAAAGGAAGCACUGAAUGUUGAGGAGGUUGUCGGCAUAUCUAAACUCAGCAUUGGUGAUGGCACCGACAGCCGCAUGGACCCGUCUGCGCUCUCCCUCAAACUGGUAGGAUCCUCUUCGGCGAGGCAAUCUGCUUUCCAGGUUAACUCUUCUGUUGCCCUGCCUGAUCUGAACCAGAGUAACAGCAGCCCUAUCCAUGCAGUCUAAGACACAUUUCCUGUGAAGUCGCCUAAAUCCUCACCAUGCAUAUUCUUUCUCUGUUGUCAACUGUUAAUCUGCU